rnacentral:lncRNA from 1 species
UUUUUUUUUGGGUGGGAAACAGGUAGCCUCCAGUUAGUCGUUCCCUGACGACCUAAUCUCUAUGGGCCGGUGCCAGUGAUCAGCGUGAAGGCCCGUUGGCGUUGUUGUGCGUGCCAAGGGCGCUAUUCCUGGCCUGUAAGCGAGCUACUGCGUCAUGUUAUAGCCUGUCGAUUCUGAACAUGAAUGAAGAGAAGCAUAGUUCUGCCUUCGUUCGUCGCUGAAACUUGGUGACAAAAUAUAUACUCCAGAUUUCAAAAAUUGUGAUGAACGAGCAGACCCCGUCUUUGUACCACUGGAACGUUGUACAAACUUAUAUACUUACCCAUGCGAUGCAUGUGAGCAGCCCCAGCAUUCCAAUAAUUUGGCCCGCAUAACAAUCACAGAAAGAAAAGGAAUGUCACAUGAAACUCACUGCCACGUUAGACAUCUACCACUGUACAGCAAUCCCCGGGAUACAGGAGAAGAUAGACGCGCAAGCACAAAGCUGUAUCAUAGUUUGGAAAUGCACUGAGCACGCAACACCUUUAUGACAAGUUUCAGCCGGACAGAUACAUAUAUACCCGUUGAUCACAAGCCGAUGAAAUCGUCCUUCUUCUCCUUCCGGGGAGUCCUUUCCUGCUGGGAGGAGGUGCCGGCUUUCUUACCGAAGAUCAUGUCGUCGAGAUCCUGAAGCAAGUCAUCCCCGCCACUAGAGCGACCACCGGACCCAGCUGAUUUCCUUGCGGGGGUGUCUUUGCCAACAGCGCGUGGGGAUUCCUCAGGCUCCACCGUGACUGGAAUCAUUGCUGGUUCUGGCUCAGGCUCUGCGACGAUGGGCUCCUUGAGGUCUUCGUACUUGGACAGAACUUUCUGGAGUUCAUCGUGGAUGCUCAGUGCCUCGAAGAGUUGAGCCUCGUUAUCACCUGCAGUCUCGACGAUUCUCUGGAUUGUGUAUUGACACUGUUGGCAUUGCUGGACCAGGGUGGUAGUCAAGUCAUCCUGCAUGUAUGUGAGGUGCAGUGGAAAAUCAGGACAGGGAGUUGAUGAUAGCAUCGUACUAAUACAAUAUUGAAUUAGAUACCUGAAUAGCAGAUAAAAAUAAUAGAAUGAAGUUCUUAACAAACUGUCAGUUAACUACUUACUUUCAGAUACUGCUCUGCACCGAGACUGUGAUGAGGUAAUAAGGGAUAACAGGUUGAUUGGCCAGGGCCAUUGUUGCUGUAUUUACUAUUAAGAUUAAAAUGUAAAAAAUGCUAGCAACCAAUAUAUAAUUUCCUUAACAUAUAGUCAUGUAUAAAGAUAACAAAACUUCAACCCUGCCUUUUGAGAUGCCUACAUCACAGACUGCACAUUGCCUAUAUAACAGAUUCCACGCUGAACGACAUGAAUUACUCACCUAAGCUGGAGUUUCUAAUUGACUGGCAAAAGAAAAGACUAACCUCUAGAGCCUCUUUUUGUGGAGAUGAUGAUAGCACUGUGGACAGAAGUUCAACGCUAUUGCGAGCCACCUCAAAAGCCUCGUCGACUUGUACAGAAGGGGCAGCACGGACUGGAGCAAAACUUUCAUCUGGAAUUUCUUGAUACCCUUCCUGUGCUGCAUCAGAAUAUGGUUCAGCUGCAGGUACUGAACGGGGAGGAGUAAAUAUUGGCGCAAGGCUCUCAUCAUCGCGGCCAGGGAAGCGAAUUCCCCUAGAUCUUAAGCUCUGCAACGAAAACCAAAUGAUAUAAGUUUCAGGCAGUCUAAUGAUACAAGUUUCAGGCACAACAUUGUGCUAUGGAUGCAGUGUAAACUGCACUAAAGGAAUGUUUAUGAAAAUGCAUCCUAAUUAUCCCUCCAAUUAACAUAAGUAACUUAAUAUCUAGUUAUCCACAAUUAACCAAAGUUCAAAAGGAACUAAAUAAGCUUUCUCAGAUUCUUGGCAGAUCAGCAGUAAAGCACUGUGUUCCGGUAAAAUCAGCUAGUUUAACCAGAGAGCAUUCCGUGUAUGUUGAUCAUCAAUAAGUACCUUGUAUGUUUCUUCAUACACGGGAAGGUAGCGGAGCUCCUCUCCUGACUCCCCUCAUGCUUCAAUAAGCAUGAGCGCCUUGUUUCUGUUGUUGACUAUAGUCUGCGGGUCAUCAAUAAGCUUCACCAUUUCAUCAAGGACCCGCUCCGCAGCAAUCUCGGAGAAAGCCUUCUCGCAGUUCUUGACAAUGGUCUCGAGGAGGACAAGAGCCAGAUACUGCACCCUCGGGCUCUUGAGCAUGAUUCGCCUCUUGAUGGCGCGGAUGAGCUCGACGCUGUUGACCCUCUCGGUGUUGGCCAUAUCGCAUAUCUCAAGAUUGGUAGCCCAAUCAGGGCCGUCCAUGGUCUCCAAGGUGGCCUCGUCAACAAUCUUGUCGGCCAUGUUCUGGCCUUGGAAGAACUCCUUCAUCUUGAAACUCAUGCUAGUGACGCCGGUGGACAUCUUGCGGCUGACUUCCGCGCCGCUGAUCUUGAGGCGCUCGCCCAGGGCGUUAACUUUGUCCAUGAGAUUGUCGCUCAUCUUGUUACAGUGAUCCGGCAGUCAGUCGAUACCUGGCGUGAUCCUGCAGGCAAGUAAAGUGCUACAUCAGGACAAGAUAGCAAAGAAGAAAUCGAGCACCAAAAUUGCAAUUCACUAUCAGCCAAGAAGGGGGAUCCAAGCAGCCCAGAACAUGAACAGCUGCCAGUAGUAGAUUGCGGGUGGGAGGUUAUCGGAAGCUGAACAACCUACCUACGUUCUUGAGCAUAUCUGACAGAAACUAGAACCUGUCCUUGUGAUGCUACAGCUAGGGUUUCUUGCUUGUUUGGUGCCCAGAAAAAAAAGGGGGGCGACGCAAUUUGCAGGGCCAUUUCUUGGCCGUGGAGAUUGAACUGAACUGGUAAAGUAUCGCGUAGAUGGAUUGCUACACAAGUUGACUGACAGGACAGGUAGUACUCUUUGUUUAUGUAUUUAGUUUUUUUUGUGUAUGUACGAUUGAUUUACAAGGGAAGGGAACACAUCGCAAGUUGGCAAGAAAAGAAACGGAAAUCGGGGGACGGUGGUGGUUUGAUCGCGCUUAGACGAGCAGUAUACAUACGAUGGACAAUUUUGAGUUGGAUAUGGGGAUUGGGGGCGGCGGCGGCGGCAGAAGCAGUGUUAGUAGCAGGGAAGCGCAAGAAGAAGAGUAGGCAGGCUGAGAAGGGUGGAUAAAUCAGCAGCCCGAAGCGAAGAGCGACGACGGCGGUGACAGAGGUCGGGGUCGGGGCUCACCUUGUUCCCAAUUCGUCGGCGGCUCCCUCCUCCUCCUCCUCCUUCCCCGGCUCAGGCAGGCGCAGAGUAGGCGAGUCGUCUGCUGCGGCUGCCAAGGCCAAGGGCGUGAUGGAUGGAUUUCAGGUCUCAGGAUGGAAUGGAUUCCACCUUGGAGCUCCUUCCGUCCCCACUUCUCCUUUUUCCCUCUUCUACUACUUUUUUCUUUUUUUUUAGAUUACUGUUUUCCCUCUUCUACUUUUCGCCUUCCUGUGGGUGGAAGGAAUGGUGCAAACCCAAUUGGACGGGCAAAGGUCACGUACGCUAACCAAUUAGAGCAGCAAUUAUUAACAUUGCGUGGUCAUCAUUUGAUUAUCCUUCAUUAUCUACUGAUAUGAUAGUCUUCGUAAUCCUGGUGAUCGUGUCAUCAGGUGAUCCAACUCAACUGUAAGAUCAGCCAGAAUUCCAUGAGGAAGGAAAUCGAGCUUUGUUGCAAGAGAAAAUCAACCAUGCUCGCCUAAUCAAUCUUCCUUCUUUCAGGAUCAGGAGGAUUCAGACUCCAGCUGUGUUGGCUUGCCGCGUCUUCAGAGCCCUGCCUGCCUGCGACCGCGUGCUCUGGACCUAUAAAAUUCAACGCGCUCACGCAUACAAAUAAUCUUUCUUCCACACCUAUUCAUAUCUUCCUACUGUCGCCGUCCAAAUCCAAAUGCUUCAGUAAUAAAUUCAGACGAGAGCGACCGACGCCUCCAGAUAAAACACAGGUUACAUCCACGCAAGGUCAACAGUUAGGAGCCAAGACAAAUAGGAAGGCGACACAUAUUGGGCUCUGUAUGUAUAUAUCAUGUCAUGUGUCUCCAAAUUUUGGAGCAAAAGAAUUAAUAUGUACACAAAACUAAUCAAAAAAUAGGACGAGUUAACUUUUAGCACAAAAAGGAAAUCGAGCCGACUGCCUGCCAGGAUCCAGGGACCAAUCUGUAUUUGCUGGACCAAUCUGGCCCAGAUGAUAGCCAUCUCAUACAGCAGUAGCUCUUCACAAAAGAUGGAACACAUGCAUCAUCUGCUGCUGGGUUCCGCCGUGCUAUUUAGGAUUAGACUGACAAUAGCCGCAGACUUCUUGUCACCACAUGAGCACGGUGUAGGCAGCAGCAUAUCACACGGUUUUUCCUUCACGCGACUUCAACAACUUACAGGGUCUGCAGGGCCGCCGUCGCAGCCUCAUCCA